AUGUGGCGUACAGCCAUACAGGACGCAUCAUCCCGGCGAUAUGGUUUCGCUAUGACCUGAGUCCAAUCACAGUGAGAUACACCGAGAGGAGACAGCCCUUCUACCGCUUCAUCACUACUAUUUGCGCUAUCAUCGGCGGGACGUUCACAGUGGCCGGCAUCAUUGACUCCUGCAUAUUCACGGCCUCUGAAGCCUGGAAGAAAAUCCAGAUUGGGAAAAUGUCAUGAGUACUCAUAUCUACAUACCAUGUCUUUUAUUUAUGCCAGCCAAACCUCUGCACACCCGUCAUUACAACCUGACCUACACUAGCCACAACUGGAAAACAUUGUCACGCCUUUUCACGCGGUUUUCAUCUCUAAACAUUUAAUACAAUGAGUUACAGGGAUUUCAUUUGGAGGAUGUAGGUGGUUUCCUUACUUCACUGCCAUA